rnacentral:rRNA from 1 species
AUUGAACGCUGGCGGAAUGCUUUACACAUGCAAGUCGAACGGCAGCACGGACUUCGGUCUGGUGGCGAGUGGCGAACGGGUGAGUAAUAUAUCGGAACGUGCCCAGUCGUGGGGGACAACGUAGCGAAAGCUACGCUAAUACCGCAUACGAUCUACGGGUGAAAGCGGGGGAUCGCAAGACCCCGCGCGAUUGGAGCGGCCGAUAUCAGAUUAGGUAGUUGGUGAGGUAAAGGCUCACCAAGCCGACGAUCUGUAGCUGGUCUGAGAGGACGACCAGCCACACUGGGACUGAGACACGGCCCAGACUCCUACGGGAGGCAGCAGUGGGGAAUUUUGGACAAUGGACGCAAGUCUGAUCCAGCCAUUCCGCGUGCAGGACGAAGGCCUUCGGGUUGUAAACUGCUUUUGUACAGAACGAAAAGGUCUCUAUUAAUACUAGGGGCUCAUGACGGUACUGUAAGAAUAAGCACCGGCUAACUACGUGCCAGCAGCCGCGGUAA